CCCUUAGAUGUUCUGGGCCGCACGCGCGCUACACUGAUGCAUUCAACGAGUCUAAAACCUGCUCUGAUAGGGGUGGGUAAUCUUUUGAAUGUGCAUCGUGAUUGGGAUAGAUGAUUGCAAUUUUUCAUCUUCAACGAGGAAUGCCUAGUAAACGCAAGUCAUCAGCUUGCAUUGAUUACGUCCCUGUCCUUUGUACACACCGCCCGUCGCUCCUACCGAUUUCGAGCGAUAUGGUGAACCUCCUGGACCGCGGGGCUCUCUAGGGCCUUGUGGAAAGUUUAGUAAACCUUAUCGCUUAGAGGAAGGAGAAGUCGUAACA
rnacentral:rRNA from 1 species